AUUAGUGUAAUAUAUGACAUUAUAUUUGACUUCCAAUCAAAAAAACUAAUCAGUAGCUCUAAUA
rnacentral:tRNA from 1 species